rnacentral:tRNA from 1 species
UUAGAUGGCUGAAAGUUAAGCAUUGGAAUUUUAAACCAAAAUAUAGUAAAUCACAUCUACUUCUAAUGA